GACUAACGCUGGCGGCGUGCCUAACACAUGCAAGUCGAACGGGGUAGCAAUACCCAGUGGCAGUCGGGUGAGUAACACGUGGUCAACCUACCUUUAAGUGGGGGAUAACUAGCCGAAAGGUUAGCUAAUACCGCAUACGAUCUUCGAGUGGCAUCACAUGAAGAUGAAAGGAGCAAUCCGCUGAAAGACGAGACCGCGUC
rnacentral:rRNA from 1 species